AGCCAAUGAUGAUGCAUUAAACUUUCUGACACCUCAUCUGAGCACUCUGGUGCUGAUAUGAUUUUAUCUGAGGCUC